ACUCCUACGGGAGGCAGCAGUGGGGAAUAUUGCACAAUGGGCGCAAGCCUGAUGCAGCAACGCCGUGUGAGUGAAGAAGGUUUUCGGAUCGUAAAACUCUGUCCUAAGGGAAGAAACAAUGACGGUACCUUAGGAGGAAGCCCCGGCUAACUACGUGCCAGCAGCCGCGGUAAUACGUAGGGGGCAAGCGUUAUCCGGAAUCACUGGGCGUAAAGGGUGCGUAGGCGGCUUAGCAAGCCAGGGGUGAAAGGCAUUAGGCUCAACCAAUGUAAGCCUUUGGAACUGUUAAGCUUGAGUGCAGGAGAGGUAAGUGGAAUUCCUAGUGUAGAGGUGAAAUUCGUAGAUAUUAGGAGGAACACCAGUGGACGAAGGCGACUUACUGGACUGUAACUGACGCUGAUGCACGAAAGCGUGGGUAGCGAACAGGAUUAGAUACCCUAGGUAGCACAGCG
rnacentral:rRNA from 1 species